AGACCCGAAACCCGGUGAUCUAGCCAUGGGCAGGUUGAAGGUUGGGUAACACUAACUGGAGGACCGAACCGACUAAUGUUGAAAAAUUAGCGGAUGACCUGUGGCUGGGGGUGAAAGGCCAAUCAAACCGGGAGAUAGCUGGUUCUCCCCGAAAGCUAUUUAGGUAGCGCCUCGUGAAUUCAUCUCCGGGGGUAGAGCACUGUUUCGGCUAGGGGGCCAUCCCGGCUUACCAACCCGAUGCAAACUGCGAAUACCGGAGAAUGUUAUCACGGGAGACACACGGCGGGUGCUAACGUCCGUCGUGAAGAGGGAAACAACCCAGACCGCCAGCUAAGGUCCCAAAGUCAUGGUUAAGUGGGAAACGAUGUGGGAAGGCCCAGACAGCCAGGAUGUUGGCUUAGAAGCAGCCAUCAUUUAAAGAAAGCGUAAUAGCUCACUGGUCGAGUCGGCCUGCGCGGAAGAUGUAACGGGGCUAAACCAUGCACCGAAGCUGCGGCAGCGACGCUUAUGCGUUGUUGGGUAGGGGAGCGUUCUGUAAGCCUGUGAAGGUGGCCUGUGAGGGUUGCUGGAGGUAUCAGAAGUGCGAAUGCUGACAUAAGUAACGAUAAAGCGGGUGAAAAGCCCGCUCGCCGGAAGACCAAGGGUUCCUGUCCAACGUUAAUCGGGGCAGGGUGAGUCGACCCCUAAGGCGAGGCCGAAAGGCGUAGUCGAUGGGAAACGGGUUAAUAUUCCCGUACUUGGUGUUACUGCGAAGGGGGGACGGAGAAGGCUAUGUUGGCCGGGCGACGGUUGUCCCGGUUUAAGCGUGUAGGUGUGUGUUCCAGGUAAAUCCGGUUCACUUUAACACUGAGGCGUGACGACGAGGCACUACGGUGCUGAAGCAACAAAUGCCCUGCUUCCAGGAAAAGCCUCUAAGCAUCAGGUAACAUCAAAUCGUACCCCAAACCGACACAGGUGGUCAGGUAGAGAAUACCAAGGCGCUUGAGAGAACUCGGGUGAAGGAACUAGGCAAAAUGGUGCCGUAACUUCGGGAGAAGGCACGCUGACACGUAGGUGAAGUGAUUUACUCAUGGAGCUGAAGUCAGUCGAAGAUACCAGCUGGCUGCAACUGUUUAUUAAAAACACAGCACUGUGCAAACACGAAAGUGGACGUAUACGGUGUGACGCCUGCCCGGUGCCGGAAGGUUAAUUGAUGGGGUCAGCGCAAGCGAAGCUCCUGAUCGAAGCCCCGGUAAACGGCGGCCGUAACUAUAACGGUCCUAAGGUAGCGAAAUUCCUUGUCGGGUAAGUUCCGACCUGCACGAAUGGCGUAAUGAUGGCCAGGCUGUCUCCACCCGAGACUCAGUGAAAUUGAACUCGCUGUGAAGAUGCAGUGUACCCGCGGCAAGACGGAAAGACCCCGUGAACCUUUACUAUAGCUUGACACUGAACAUUGAGCCUUGAUGUGUAGGAUAGGUG
rnacentral:rRNA from 1 species